ACAACACCGACCGAACGCAGGCAGUGUGAAGGGAAGAGGGACAUACACCUAGAAGGCUCCAACCAGAAAAGAAGAUACAAAUGGAAGAUACCAUUGACACCGCCAUGGGGGUGUUCUCUUAUCAGUACCUGGCGUCCAAUGACAGUUUACUUUUCAACAUCACACCAACCCACUUCCCCCCCCUGCCACCCAUAAUAGACCAGACCAUCAGCUUCACCAUCAUAGUGGUCCUCUUCAUCACCAUGGUUUCACUGGGCUGUACCAUGGAGGUGUCCAAGAUCAAGACCCACAUCCUGAAACCUAAAGGAGUAGCCAUCGCAGUGGUGGCACAGUUCGGAGUAAUGCCCCUCACUGCCUUUUCAUUGGCUAAGGU